GGGGCUAUAGCUCAGUUGGUAGAGCGCGUCGUUCGCAAUGACGAGGUCAGGGGUUCGAUUCCCCUUAGCUCCA
rnacentral:tRNA from 1 species